rnacentral:rRNA from 1 species
CGAGGCGAACCGGGGAAACUGAAACAUCUCAGUACCCCGAGGAAAAGAAAUCAACCGAGAUUCCCCCAGUAGCGGCGAGCGAACGGGGAGCAGCCCAGAGUCAACAUCAAUAUUUACCACAGGAGAAGGGUCUGGAAAGGCCGGCAAUGAAGGGUGAUAGCCCCGUAUCUAAAGCGGUAAGUGUUGUGAACUCGAAGAGUAGGGCGGGACACGUGUUAUCCUGUCUGAAUAUGGGGGGACCAUCCUCCAAGGCUAAAUACUCCUGACUGACCGAUAGUGAACCAGUACCGUGAGGGAAAGGCGAAAAGAACCCCGGCGAGGGGAGUGAAAUAGAACCUAAAACCGUGUACGUACAAGCAGUAGGAGCACCCGAAAGGGUGUGACUGCGUACCUUUUGUAUAAUGGGUCAGCGACUUAUAUUCUGUAGCAAGGUUAACCGCAUAGGGGAGCCGUAGGGAAACCGAGUCUUAACUGGGCGUUAAGUUGCAGGGUAUAGACCCGAAACCCGGUGAUCUAGCCAUGAGCAGGUUGAAG